rnacentral:rRNA from 1 species
ACGGGUGAGUAACGCGUAUCCAACCUGCCCACCACUUGGGGAUAACCUUGCGAAAGUAAGACUAAUACCCAAUGACGUCUCUAGAAGACAUCUGAAAGGGAUUAAAGAUUUAUCGGUGAUGGAUGGGGAUGCGUCUGAUUAGCUUGUUGGCGGGGUAACGGCCCACCAAGGCUACGAUCAGUAGGGGUUCUGAGAGGAAGGUCCCCCACAUUGGAACUGAGACACGGUCCAAACUCCUACGGGAGGCAGCAGUGAGGAAUAUUGGUCAAUGGACGAGAGUCUGAACCAGCCAAGUAGCGUGCAGGAUGACGGCCCUAUGGGUUGUAAACUGCUUUUAUAAGGGAAUAAAGUGAGCCUCGUGAGGCUUUUUGCAUGUACCUUAUGAAUAAGGACCGGCUAAUUCCGUGCCAGCAGCCGCGGUAAUACGGAAGGUCCGGGCGUUAUCCGGAUUUAUUGGGUUUAAAGGGAGCGUAGGCCGGAGAUUAAGCGUGUUGUGAAAUGUAGAUGCUCAACAUCUGCACUGCAGCGCGAACUGGUUUCCUUGAGUACGCACAAAGUGGGCGGAAUUCGUGGUGUAGCGGUGAAAUGCUUAGAUAUCACGAAGAACUCCGAUUGCGAAGGCAGCUCACUGGAGCGCAACUGACGCUGAAGCUCGAAAGUGCGGGUAUCGAACAGGAUUAGAUACCCUGGUAGUCCGCAUGGUAAACGAUGGAUGCCCGCUGUUGGUCUGAAUAGGUCAGCGGCCAAGCGAAAGCAUUAAGCAUCCCACCUGGGGAGUACGCCGGCAACGGUGAAACUCAAAGGAAUUGACGGGGGCCCGCACAAGCGGAGGAACAUGUGGUUUAAUUCGAUGAUACGCGAGGAACCUUACCC